AGUGGCGAACGGGUGAGUAACGCAUCGGAACGUGCCCAGUAGUGGGGGAUAACCAGUCGAAAGAUUGGCUAAUACCGCAUACGACCUACGGGUGAAAGCGGGGGAUCGCAAGACCUCGCGCUACUGGAGCGGCCGAUGUCUGAUUAGCUAGUUGGUGGGGUAAAGGCUCACCAAGGCGACGAUCAGUAGCUGGUCUGAGAGGACGACCAGCCACACUGGGACUGAGACACGGCCCAGACUCCUACGGGAGGCAGCAGUGGGGAAUUUUGGACAAUGGGCGAAAGCCUGAUCCAGCCAUGCCGCGUGCGGGAAGAAGGCCUUCGGGUUGUAAACCGCUUUUGGCAGGAACGAAACGGUGCCGACAAAUACUCGGCGCUAAUGACGGUACCUGCAGAAUAAGCACCGGCUAACUACGUGCCAGCAGCCGCGGUAAUACGUAGGGUGCAAGCGUUAAUCGGAAUUACUGGGCGUAAAGCGUGCGCAGGCGGCUAUGCAAGACAGGUGUGAAAUCCCCGGGCUCAACCUGGGAACUGCAUUUGUGACUGCAUGGCUAGAGUUUGUCAGAGGGGGGUGGAAUUCCACGUGUAGCAGUGAAAUGCGUAGAGAUGCGGAGGAACACCGAUGGCGAAGGCAGCCCCCUGGGACCUGACUGACGCUCAUGCACGAAAGCGUGGGGAGCAAACAGGAUUAGAUACCCCGG
rnacentral:rRNA from 1 species